UCUUUAGUAGCUAAAUUGGUUAGAGCGUGCGACUGUUAAUCGCGAGGUUGUGGGUUCAAGUCCCACCUAAAGAG
rnacentral:tRNA from 1 species